GAUUUCUCUCCUCUGUCUCUUGAUUUUCCAUCCUUUCAGCAAGAACUAGAGAAUCUCCAAGGAAGAGAAGAAGAAGAUGCACGUGUGGUGUGGAUCCCUCUGCGAAGAAAGACUGGUAAGAGUGGUGCUGCAGCAGCCACUGUGGCUCCUUCCAUUUCCACUGCCCUGCAGCCCAAAAAACCAAAAGAAAAAGCU